GCCACCGUAGCUCAGUUGGUAGAGCAUUCGAUUCGUAAUCGAAAGGUCACGCGUCCGACUCGCGUCGGUGGCU
rnacentral:tRNA from 1 species